UAACGUGCUGUGAUGAGAAGAGUAAUGGUGGGAUUAAUGAACAGCGAGCCUGGAACGGUGAAAAAGGGCCUUUAGUCAACCAUGAAGAUGAGCUCGGAGCAUACUUUUAGGUUCACGCUUAAAAGUCGCCUGACUGGCGAUAACCCGUCGCACUGUUAAAAAAUGCAGUGAAUAAGGUAUGACAUGUCAGUGUCAUAUAAAUAAGGUGGUACCACGAGUCAAUUCGUCCUUUGU
rnacentral:ncRNA from 1 species